AUUGAACGCUGGCGGCAGGCUUAACACAUGCAAGUCGAGCGGAGAGAGGUAGCUUGCUACUGAUCUGAGCGGCGAACGGGUGAGUAACACGUGAGUAAUCUGCCCUUGGCUUUGGGAUAGCCACCGGAAACGGUGAUUAAUACCGGAUAUGACCACUUCACGCAUGUGAUGGUGGUGGAAAGUUUUUCGGCCAGGGAUGUGCUCGCGGCCUAUCAGCUUGAUGGUGAGGUAAUGGCUCACCAUGGCUUCGACGAGUAGCCGGCCUGAGAGGGUGACCGGUCACACUGGGACUGAGACACGGCCCAGACUCCUACGGGAGGCAGCAGUGGGGAAUAUUGGACAAUGGGCGGAAGCCUGAUCCAGCAACGCCGCGUGAGGGAUGACGGCCUUCGGGUUGUAAACCUCUUUCGCCUAUGACGAAGCGCAAGUGACGGUAAUAGGUAAAGAAGCACCGGCCAACUACGUGCCAGCCGCCGCAGUAAAAC
rnacentral:rRNA from 1 species